rnacentral:tRNA from 1 species
UAGCUCAGUCGGUAAAGAAUCUGCCUGCAAUGCAGGAGACCUAGGUUCGAUUCCUAG